GACGAACGCUGGCGGCGUGCUUAACACAUGCAAGUCGAACGGAAAGGCCCUGCUUUUGUGGGGUGCUCGAGUGGCGAACGGGUGAGUAACACGUGAGUAACCUGCCCUUGACUUUGGGAUAACUUCAGGUAACUGGGGCUAAUACCGGAUAGGAGCUCCUGCUGCAUGGUGGGGGUUGGAAAGUUUCGGCGGUUGGGGAUGGACUCGCGGCUUAUCAGCUUGUUGGUGGGGUAGUGGCUUACCAAGGCUUUGACGGGUAGCCGGCCUGGGGGGGUGACCGGCAACAUUGGGACUGGGAUACGGCCCAGACUCCUACGGGAGGCAGCAGUGGGGAAUAUUGCACAAUGGGCGGAAGCCGGAUGCAGCAACGCCGCGUGCGGGAUGACGGCCUUCGGGUUGUAAACCGCUUUCGCCUGUGACGAAGCGUGAGUGACGGUAAUGGGUAAAGAAGCACCGGCUAACUACGUG
rnacentral:rRNA from 1 species